GUCCACGCCUAACGAUGUCAACUGGUUGUUGGGAGGGUUUCUUCUCAGUAACGAAGCUAACGCGUGAAGUUGACCGCCUGGGAGUACGGCCGCAAGGUUGAAACUCAAAGGAAUUGACGGGACCCGCACAAGCGGUGGAUGAUGUGGUUUAAUUCGAUGCAACGCGAAACCUUACCUACCCUUGACAUGUCUGAAAUCCUGGAGAGAUUCGGGAGUGCUCGAAAGAGAAUCAGAACACAGGUGCUGCAUGGCCGUCGU
rnacentral:rRNA from 1 species